CUCUGUCCAAAUCUCACGCUCUUG
rnacentral:piRNA from 1 species